UGGGGAAUUGUUCACAAUGGGCGCAAGCCUGAUGACGCAACGCCGCGUGGGGGAUGAAGGUCUUCGGAUUGUAAACCCCUGUCGAAUGGGACGAAAGACUCGCGAGUUAAUACUUCGCGGGAGUGACGGUACCGUUAAAGGAAGCCACGGCUAACUCUGUGCCAGCAGCCGCGGUAAUACAGAGGUGGCAAGCGUUGUUCGGAAUUACUGGGCGUAAAGGGCGCGUAGGCGGCCUACUAAGUCAGACGUGAAAUCCCCCGGCUUAACCUGGGAACUGCGUCUGAUACUGGAAGGCUUGAGUAUGGGAGAGGGAUGUAGAAUUCCAGGUGUAGCGGUGAAAUGCGUAGAUAUCUGGAGGAAUACCGGUGGCGAAGGCGGCAUCCUGGACCAUUACUGACGCUGAGGCGCGAAAGCUAGGGGAGCAAACGGGAUUAGAUACCCGUGUAGUCCCUGAGCGGGCUGGCAAGGCGCAU
rnacentral:rRNA from 1 species